GCACUAUGCAUAAAAGACACAUUAACUGAUCAAAUUGGUCUUGGCCGUCUUAUCUCAAAGCACGAAAUGUUCUGUUUUGAGAAAACAGUAUUUAAAACAUUUGAACUUUUGCUUGAAUAUCUUAUAUUUCGAAAAACAGUAUAAACUGUACGGUCUAAAUUUAGUUUGCACGGUCUAAAUUUAGUUUACACGAAAGUUGUAAACAACACCAUAUAAGGAUAGACACUCCAUAUUUGGAGAAACGAACGUUACGGGGCAGAUAUUCAAAUUCAUUAGUCAUCGAUGCAGGCUCUCAAUUCAGCUUGAGAGCCUGUUCGCAGGCUAUUGCUUAGCUUGCUCGCAGACGCUUCUGGCAGCAAGUUCAUCACUGGUAAUGCGAGUGUAAGGGGAUAUUGGUAAAUAACAUGAUUUUGGCCGUCUCACUUCCUGCCAGACAGGGUCCACAGUUGCGUUCUUCGCAGCUACUUAUGGCUGGAUCUAAAAAAAUGUAUAAAAUAAAUUCGAAAUUUCAAUCUCACUACAAAACCUUCCACAUUCUGUCGAGUGCGAUGCUUGAAAUCCUG